AAUAGCGGAGGAAAAGAAACCAACAGGGAUUGCCUCAGUAACGGCGAGUGAAGCGGCAACAGCUCAAAUUUGAAAUCUGGCCUCCUUGGGGGUCCGAGUUGUAAUUUGUAGAGGAUGCUUCGGCGUGGGCCCCGGUCUAAGUUCCUUGGAACAGGACGUCACAGAGGGUGAGAAUCCCGUACGUGGCCGUGGGUGCUCGCCAUGUGAAGCUCCUUCGACGAGUCGAGUUGUUUGGGAAUGCAGCUCUAAAUGGGAGGUAUAUUUCUUCUAAAGCUAAAUAUUGGCCAGAGACCGAUAGCGCACAAGUAGAGUGAUCGAAAGAUGAAAAGCACUUUGGAAAGAGAGUCAAAAAGUACGUGAAAUUGUUGAAAGGGAAGCGCUUGCAACCAGACCUGUCUGCAGUUGCUCAUCCGGGCUUCUGCCCGGUGCACUCUUCUGCAGUCAGGCCAGCAUCAGUUCUGGCGGUCGGAUAAAGGCGGUGGGAAUGUGGCUCCUCUCGGGGAGUGUUAUAGCCCAUCGUGCAAUGCGGCCAGCUGGGACUGAGGUCCGCGCUUCGGCUAGGAUGCUGGCGUAAUGGUUGUAAGCGGCCCGUCUUGAAACACGGACCAAGGAGUCUAACAUCUGUGCGAGUGUUUGGGUGUCAAGCCCAGGCGCGUAAUGAAAGUGAACGGAGGCGGGAACCUUCGGGUGCACCGUCGACCGAUCCUGAUGUCUUCGGAUGGAUUUGAGUAAGAGCAUAGCUGUUGGGACCCGAAAGAUGGUGAACUAUGCCUGAAUAGGGUGAAGCCAGAGGAAACUCUGGUGGAGGCUCGCAGCGGUUCUGACGUGCAAAUCGAUCGUCAAAUUUGGGCAUAGGGGCGAAAGACUAAUCGAACUAUCUAGUAGCUGGUCCUGC
rnacentral:rRNA from 1 species